UAUAGUUUAUAAAAUAAUUAAGAGAGAAAAAAGUGAAAUUAGAAUUCUUUUUUUAAUAAUAUUAUAGUAAACUUGAGUUGAAGUUAGUAAGUGUUAGGUUUAAACUAGGAUUAGAUMCCCUAUUAUACUAAUAAAAUAUAUAUUACUCAGAUUAUUAGAAGUUAUGUUCUUGAAAUUCGAAGAAUUUGGSGGUGAUUUAGUCUUGUUAGAGGAACCUGUUUUUGAAUCGAUACACCACGUAAAAUCUUACUCAUUUUAGUAAUAAAGUUUAUAUACCGUCAUUAUCAGAUGAUUUUCUAAGAAUAAAUUAUUAAGUUUUUAUCAAAAAAGUUAAAUUAGAUCAAGGUGUAGCUAAUAAAUGAGUUAAAAUGGGUUACAAUAAAAUUUAUUUAAUACGAAAUAAUUAAAGAAAGAAGAAUUAUGAAGGAGGAUUUAAUUGUAAUUAAAGUAUAAUAAGCUUUAAAGAUAUAAGCUCUAAAUCAUGUACAUAUCGCCCGUCGCUUUCAUUUUAUAGAUGAGAUAAGUCGUAACAAAG
rnacentral:rRNA from 1 species